rnacentral:rRNA from 1 species
CGGAAAGUGGCGUCCGGGUGAGUAACACGUAGGAACCUACCCCGAAGCGGGGGAUAACCCAUCGAAAGGUGGGCUAAUACCGCAUGAUAUUGAUUUCUUUGAAUCUUAUUGUUUAUUCGGUAAGAGAAUGAUUAAUCAAUCAAAGCUCCGGCGCUUUGGGAUGGGCCUGCGGCUGAUUAGCUAGUUGGUAGGGUAAAAGCCUACCAAGGCAAUGAUCAGUAGCUGGUCUGAGAGGACGAUCAGCCACACUGGCACUGAAACACGGGCCAGACUCC